GGUGUUUACUGUCGAACUGAACACUCUACCGUUUACUGUCUGGUGGUGCUCUUCACCGAGUGUCACCAGUGGUCGGUACGUUUACUUUGAAAAAAUUAGAGUGCUCAAAGCGGUUUUUACACGACCGAAUACUGUUGCAUGGAAUAAUGAAAUAGGACUUUGGUUCUAUUUUGUUGGUCUUCGGAACCAAGGUAAUGAUUAAGAGGGACAGACGGGGGCAUUAGUAUUGCGACGCUAGAGGUGAAAUUCUUGGACCGUCGCAAGACUAACUAAAGCGAAAGCAUUUGCCAAGAAUGUUUUCAUUAAUCAAGAACGAAAGUUAGAGGUUCGAAGGCGAUCAGAUACCGCCCUAGUUCUAACCAUAAACGAUGCCAACCAGCAAUCAGCCUGUGUUCUCUUGAUGACACGGCUGGCGGCUUCCGGGAAACCAAAGUCUUUCGGUUCCAGGGGAAGUAUGGUUGCAAAGCUGAAACUUAAAGGAAUUGACGGAAGGGCACCACCAGGAGUGGAGCCUGCGGCUUAAUUUGACUCAACACGGGGAAACUCACCCGGCCCGGACACUGUGAGGAUUGACAGGUUGAAGCCCUUUCUUGAUUCAGUGGGUGGUGGUGCAUGGCCGUUCUUAGUUGGUGGAGUGAUUUGUCUGGUUAAUUCCGAUAACGAACGAGACCUUAGCCUACUAACUAGUCGACUCGUUUUCGAGCGGGCACGACUUCUUAGAGGGACUUUGUGA
rnacentral:rRNA from 1 species